GAUGAACGCUGGCGGCGUGCCUAAUACAUGCAAGUCGAACGCUGAAGCUUGGUGCUUGCACCGAGCGGAUGAGUUGCGAACGGGUGAGUAACGCGUAGGUAACCUGCCUCUUAGCGGGGGAUAACUAUUGGAAACGAUAGCUAAUACCGCAUAAAAGUCGAUAUCGCAUGAUAUUGAUUUGAAAGGUGCAAAUGCAUCACUAAGAGAUGGACCUGCGUUGUAUUAGCUAGUUGGUGAGGUAACGGCUCACCAAGGCGACGAUACAUAGCCGACCUGAGAGGGUGAUCGGCCACACUGGGACCGGAACACGGCCCAGACUCCUACGGGAGGCAGCAGUAGGGAAUCUUCGGCAAUGGGGGCAACCCUGAACGAGCAACGCCGCGUGAGUGAAGAAGGUUUUCGGUUCGGAAAGCUCUGUUGUAAGAGAAGAACGAGUGUGAGAGUGGAAAGUUCACACUGUGACGGUAACUUACCAGAAAGGGACGGCUAACUACGUG
rnacentral:rRNA from 1 species